rnacentral:pre_miRNA from 1 species
AGAGGGAUUGAUGGGACAAAGAGUAACUCUGUUUAACCAUUUAAAGAACUGCCAGAUUAUUUUCCAAGGUGGCUGCGCUGUUUUACAUUCCCACUAGCAGU